rnacentral:rRNA from 1 species
UUUACCACGGAGUGAUUCAUGACUGGGGUGAAGUCGUAACAAGGUAGCCCUAGGGGAACCUGGGGCUGGAUCACCUCCUUACGAAAUAG